GCAGUAGCCACGGUAAUACGUAGGUCCCGAGCGUUGUCCGGAUUUAUUGGGCGUAAAGCGAGCGCAGGCGGUUAGAUAAGUCUGAAGUUAAAGGCUGUGGCUUAACCAUAGUACGCUUUGGAAACUGUUUAACUUGAGUGCAAGAGGGGAGAGUGGAAUUCCAUGUGUAGCGGUGAAAUGCGUAGAUAUAUGGAGGAACACCGGUGGCGAAAGCGGCUCUCUGGCUUGUAACUGACGCUGAGGCUCGAAAGCGUGGGGAGCAAACAGGAUUAGAUACCCCUGUAGUCCCUGUCUCUUAUACA
rnacentral:rRNA from 1 species